rnacentral:rRNA from 1 species
AUUGAACGCUGGCGGUAUGCUUAACACAUGCAAGUCGAACGGCAGCAUGGUCUAGCUUGCUAGACUGAUGGCGAGUGGCGGACGGGUGAGUAACGCGUAGGAAUCUACCUUAUAGAGGGGGACAACCCGGGGAAACUCGGGCUAAUACCGCAUAAUAAUCGAGAGAUGAAAGUAUGGGACCUUUUGGCCAUACGCUAUAAGCUGAGCCUGCGUUGGAUUAGCUAGUUGGUGGGGUAAAGGCCUACCAAGGCGACGAUCCAUAACUGGUCUGAGAGGAUGACCAGUCACACUGGGACUGAGACACGGCCCAGACUCCUACGGGAGGCAGCAGUGGGGAAUAUUGGACAAUGGGGGCAACCCUGAUCCAGCAAUGCCGCGUGUGUGAAGAAGGCCUGCGAGUUGUAAAGCACUUUUAGUGAUGAGGAAGGUAAUUGUGUGAAUAGCAUGAUUAUUUGACGUUAGUCACAGAAAAAGCACCGGCUAACUCUGUGCCAGCCGCCGCGGUAA